AUGAUUGUUUCAUUUUCUUGUGUCACCUUGACGUCAUAUAUCAUUUAUGUUUAUUUUUUGGGGUUGUUCUUACCAUCUGGCGUUGUUUUACAACAAGUCUGUCACUGUGGUGAGUGUUGUGAUGUUAAGUUACCAUUUUUUAUAUAUUUUUGA